AUUGAACGCUGGCGGAAUGCUUUACACAUGCAAGUCGAACGGCAGCACGGGGGCAACCCUGGUGGCGAGUGGCGAACGGGUGAGUAAUACAUCGGAACGUGCCCGGUCGUGGGGGAUAACGUAGCGAAAGUUACGCUAAUACCGCAUACGAUCUGAGGAUGAAAGCGGGGGACCUUCGGGCCUCGCGCGAUCGGAGCGGCCGAUGUCCGAUUAGGUAGUUGGUGGGGUAAAGGCCUACCAAGCCGACGAUCUGUAGCUGGUCUGAGAGGACGACCAGCCACACUGGGACUGAGACACGGCCCAGACUCCUACGGGAGGCAGCAGUGGGGAAUUUUGGACAAUGGGCGCAAGCCUGAUCCAGCCAUUCCGCGUGCAGGACGAAGGCCUUCGGGUUGUAAACUGCUUUUGUAUGGAACGAAAAGGAUCUGGCUAAUACCUGGGGCUCAUGACGGUACCGUAAGAAUAAGCACCGGCUAACUACGUG
rnacentral:rRNA from 1 species